rnacentral:rRNA from 1 species
AUACGGAGGGUGCAAGCGUUAUUCGGAAUCACUGGGCGUAAAGCGCGCGCAGGCGGUCUUUUAAGUUGGAUGUGAAAGCCUACGGCUCAACCGUAGAACUGCAUCCAAAACUAUUAGACUAGAGUGUGGGAGAGGAAGAUGGAAUUAGUUGUGUAGGGGUAAAAUCCGUAGAGAUAACUAGGAAUACCAAAAGCGAAGGCAAUCUUCUGGAACACUACUGACGCUGAGGCGCGAAAGCGUGGGGAGCAAACAGGAUUAGAUACCCUAGUAGUCC